CUCAGAUAGAUACCACCUUCAGAAUGCCAAAUCUCACCUGAUCUCAGAAGCUAAGUAGGUCGGGCCCGGUUAGCACUUGGAUGGAAGACCGUUAAAAAGAGCAAGUGCCGUACUGAGA
rnacentral:rRNA from 1 species